rnacentral:rRNA from 1 species
AACGAACGCUGGCGGCAGGCUUAACACAUGCAAGUCGAACGCCCCGCAAGGGGAGUGGCAGACGGGUGAGUAACGCGUGGGAACAUACCCUUUCCUGCGGAAUAGCUCCGGGAAACUGGAAUUAAUACCGCAUACGCCCUACGGGGGAAAGAUUUAUCGGGGAAGGAUUGGCCCGCGUUGGAUUAGCUAGUUGGUGGGGUAAAGGCCUACCAAGGCGACGAUCCAUAGCUGGUCUGAGAGGAUGAUCGGCCACAUUGGGACUGAGACACGGCCCAAACUCCUACGGGAGGCAGCAGUGGGGAAUCUUGCGCAAUGGGCGAAAGCCUGACGCAGCCAUGCCGCGUGAAUGAUGAAGGUCUUAGGAUUGUAAAAUUCUUUCGCCGACGAAGAUAAUGACGGUAGUCGGGGAAGAAGCCCCGGCUAACUUCGUGCCAGCCGCCGCCGUAACAC